rnacentral:rRNA from 1 species
CAAACGGGUGAGUAAUGUACAGGAAUCUACCUAGCAGUAAGGAAUAACCUUGGGAAACCAAAGCUAAUGCCAUAUAUUACCGGUUAGCAAUAACCGGGAAAGAUUUAUCGCUGUUAGAUGAGCCUGUAUCCCAUUAGCUAGUUGGUAGGGUAAUGGCCUACCAAGGCGAUGAUGGGUAGCUGGUCUGAGAGGAUGAUCAGCCACACUGGGACUGCGACACGGCCCAGACUCC